UACUGAGAGACUUGCAGAGGCCAACACCAAGCUUUUUGGAGUGCCACAGAAGCAGAUCUGUGGUCACAAGCAGCGCUGUCAGCGGAGUUCUGGCUGCAAGUCCACUUCUGGAUUCACCUGGCCUGGGACAUGUUGGCCUCAGUUUGGGACUGAGCAGAAGUCUGGCUCUCAGAACACCACCCAGACACCUGUGGUAAAGCCCAAGACUUCUGCUCAUCAGUACAUCCUGUGAGGGACCGUUCAGAUGGAUGGAACGAAUUGCUUCCUUUCCUUAAUUUCGACACCCACGGCCUAGUAGCCAGUUUCCUUAAUGGUGACCUUCAAGGUUUGGUAGCAAAGACUCCAAGAUCAGCUCUAACCCAUCCCUACAUUGCUCAGCGACAAUGAUCCUAGUGGUGAAGGCAGCGAAACUGCUACUUAAAAUUGGAGAGGUGGUGCUGCAUUGGUCCCCUUGUUGUACGAAAGGAAUCGCUGGAGCUUUGGGGACAAGAAGUGCCAACGGCCACGACAACUGUACACAGGCAACAGUAUCGGAGGAACCGAGAUGCUGUGACCCCCAUCCAUCCAUCCAGUACAUCCAUGACAUCAUUGUGGGGGGGACACAGCAGAAGAAGUUUUCGAGAAAGGACAGAAGAUCAUCCAGAUUCUCCUCGAGGCCUGUUUUGCCAUCAAGAAGAGUAAGGUCAAGGGCCCUGCCCAAGAGAUCCAGUUCCUAGGGCUGAAAUGGCAAAUGGACGACACCAGAUACCAACAGACGUCCUCAACAAGAUUGUAGCAAUGGCUCCACCCACAAACAAGAAAGAAACCCAAGCUUUUCUUGGAGCCAUUGGCUUCUGGAGGAUGCACAUCCCAGAGUACAGCCAGAUGCUGGAGAUAAAGGUCCCUCCUGGAGCCUCUGGCCAAAGGUGCCUGGUGAGACGUGAGGGCGACCACUGGGUUUCUGGAGCCGAAGCCACAGAGGUUCUGAGGCCAAUUCCACCCCUGUGGAGAAGGAAAUCUUAGCAGCCUAUGAAGGCAUACGAGCAGCUUCAGAGCUUUCAGAUUCAGCAAUGUCCUCACUCCCGACAGACCAGGGUCCCCUUUCCAGAGUAAUGGAGGAGCACCGUGAUUUUUUAAUCCAAAAUUCCCGGAUUGGAAUGAAAUGCUCUGGAAAGGCUCUGGAAAUCAUUGGGUGUUCACAAUCAUCAAUGAAGAUGUUCACCAGGAAUUGCUGAUCACUGGCCUCCAGCUGGAUGUUGCACUCCUGAUCACCACCCCAGCCAGCAGAUUUCAACCAGCCUGCUGUCUGCUCAUCCAGCCCAUACUUCAUGGGCUUCUCUGUGAGGGAGCCCUGUCUGUGUGCACUAGUACACACAUUCAUUUGGAUUUUAAAAAAUCAAACAGAAGUGAUUGUUUUAACAGCACAAUUAUUUUUCAAAGGGAAAUAGAAGGGUAUGGCUUUGAUGGAACGAGUGCCUUCAAGCUCCAUUGGCAGGCACUGUUUGAAAACUAUUUGGGUGAUUUUUGAUAAGAAAUGAAAGAUACAACAGCAGGAAGCCAUUCAGCAAUCCCUGACAAGGGAGGUCCACUGUCAAUUGCUGGGAGGGCCCCCACCUGUUUCUUUUAAUGGUGCUCCCAAAUCCCACCCCUUGGGCCUCCCAUCCCAUCCUUUUUGGUCCCUCAGGCAUCUCCUCCCCAGGAUCUGCUCUGUGCCCUACCCAGGGUCCCCAAAUAUCCUCCCAUUAAUCAUUCCCAAAGCUUUUCUUUCCAUCCUUCCCCUCAGACCUUUGCCUUUCACCCAGGCCACUGCCCUGGUACCUCCCAAGACCAUUCCUUGACUCCCUCUCCACUCCCAACCAUCUCCCAGUGCCCUCGUUUUUGUCCUCCUCCAUCCUCCUCCUCCUGUCCCCACCAAGCCUCUCCCUUGCAGUCCCCAUGUCCCCACACUUGAAUUCCUUUCCCCUCCCCUGCAUCCCACACAGGGCCCCUUCAACACCCCAAUCCCAGUCCCGUGGGCUCCCCAGUUCCCCCCAGUUCAGCAUCUUUGGGUCCCCCCCAACCUCCCCCCACCCUCCCUGCAGGCCCUGAAUUCCCCUGGCUCUCCUUGUCUCCAUCCCAACCCUGGGCCCUGCAGGAACUGGGAUCCCAGGGGAAACUGGGUGCAGUGGGGCUGGGGGGAGCAGAAGGGAUUUUCCCCCUCAGACGGGGGGCAGCCCUGGGCUGGGGGGGCUGGGGACCCCCGUGUCCCUCCCCCAGCCCCACAGGGGCCAAUCCUGCUUAACCCUUUGCUCUCCUUGCCCAGGCACUCUUGGCAGGAACCCAAAAUGAUCUGCGGGAGGUGAGUGGGCCGGGGGGACUGGAGGGCAUCCAGUCUGGGAACUGGGGGACACUUUGGUCCCCCCAUCCCUCGCUGGCACCGGGGACAUCCCAGUGACCAGCCAGGGCUCCUGGUCUCUCUCCAGCUGCAUUUAGUGGACGUUGGGAUCCUGAAGAUGGCUCAGGCUCCCAAUACAUCCCACUACACCCAGUGUGUCCCUAACCCUGUCUUUGUCCCCAGCCCCCUGUGGUGGAGAAGGUGCUGGGUCCUGUUGGUGAGAAAGGCGUGGCUGCAUCCCUGGGUGGCUGAGGACUGGUGGUGACACCCGUGCCCUGUCCCCCUCCAGUGGCAUGAGGAGAUGAUCAUCCCUGGAAGAACCCCCUGCUUUCCCUCAGAGCCCAGGGCCAUUUCCCCUGAAUGAUCAAUAAAUCCCUUCAGCAAAGCUA